rnacentral:sRNA from 1 species
CAGGCCAAGAAGCCUGAUGAACCUGGACACAGGAGAGCCGCCUGAAGAAUCCAGGUGGGGAUGGGUGGCUAAAAAGGGCAGCCUCUAGUAUGGGCGCAUCUGACGUGUGGUAGGCCAAGGAGUGUGGGGCUGUCCUAGGGUCUGCACAAAACGUCAUUUGAGACUCCAGUGAAACACUAGUAUGAAAAUGAAGUUACUCCUCCUGAAAAAGCCCUAGACUAACGGUAAUUGUGGUGAAGAAAAGAGUGAACACCAGAUUUUUUGCUCAGUCUGGAGGAAGACUUCAGAAUCCACUUCCUGGAACAGUUAUUGAUGUAGAGGUUACCAGACCAGAAUGGUAUGACUUUUUUAUCGUGAGCCAGGCUGUGAGAAGUGGUAGUGUUUCUCCCACACAUUACAAUGUCAUCUAUGACAACAGCGGCCUGAAGCCAGACCACAUACAGCGCUUGACCUACAAGCUGUGCCACAUCUAUUACAACUGGCCAGUAAGUGCUUCUACUUGUUGAUGUUUAGCAAAUAAAGGACAUUCACUUUUCAAAAUGAAA